CCUUACUUAAGCUGAGCAGUAAGUAAUUUUCAAUGCUCUACCAUCACCAGUGCUCUUGGAGCACUGGGCUCAGCUGUCAGUCAGUCAAAGAUUCCUGGUCUGGGUUCUUCAGUCCUCUGCACUCAAGUUGACCUUCUGGUUCACCUCAUCCUGGGGUCUGUGCAUCCAGUCAGUGGCCCAAGUCUCAUUGGUUCCAUAUUUCCAGUCGUGUUGGGAGUCUUGAUCUCUGGAGCCCGAAACCUGGUGUAAUGGAUAGCCGUUUGGGCUGUUUCUUCAUAGACCUCUUUGAAGAAGGUUAAUAAAUGCUUUUAACUGGCCCAGUUCAUGCUCCGAGGCCAAGAAUCCUGAGGAUUCCUGGAGAAAUAUUUCCUAAUUAACUGGCUGAAGUGUCUACGGACAGCCUCUCUGCUUGGCGAGACCUGGGCUCUCGCUUCUACGACUUAAACAGAUUUGGCUACCCUCCAGAAAAGAAGAACUUUGCAUUAAUAUCCAAAGCAUCAAUGAAGUGUGACAGUUAUUUCUCCAGGAUUUCUCCUUUAUAGGGGCUAAGAUGUCCAUAUUUACAAUGUUAAUUUACGCCCAUUCUUGUCAUGGAAAAAGGUUUUACAUCCAGGAACGUGACCCUCCUGCAAGGGUGUCAUUUACCGAAAUGGGGAUCUCUGGAUGCUUAAAAUGUUGGGAAAUUUUGUUCCUCAGUUGUUCUAAUGGCCUUUGAUAUGGCAUAUAAUCUAAUGAUCAAGUCUAACGUUUAGAGCAUCGUGCAUUAGCAGGUCAUACAGUUAAACUAAUUGGAACUAUGUACUUUGUGACCAGGAGACCCAAUUAGAGGAUCUUCAAGGUAUUGUGUGAUUAUGGUGUCUCAUGAUAUCCCUCGUUCUUCCUUAUGGGUCUUUUAUUCAUAGAUUAAUGUGUAGAAAAGAAUCACAGACUAUCUUUCACUCCGUCCCAGAACACACUCUGUCUUCUGCAAAUCAACAGACAUCCUCUGUCUCCCCCCCCACUCUCCUCGCUAUAACAUUCCUGGAAGUGAGUAGUUGUCAACGAGUUGGCUGUUGCCACACGCGAGCUGAAGGGGUUGGAGGACGGCGCCGCUGUAGGCGUGUGCCUGCCAUUUUGGCCGCAUCUAUGAGAAGCAACAACGCGGCAUCUGUGCUCCAAGGCCGCGACCGUGCAGCUGCAGGCCGGCGUCGGCGCCAAUGCAGGGGACGACCUGCCGAGAUGCGUUUACAGAGCGAGGCUCGAUAGGGAGCCGACCUCAAGGGAAAAUAUAUAAUACAAAAUAAUAAAUAAAAAGUGUCUGCCUGCCCAAAUCUCAAAAGCAGGCGUUCUUUGAAUAGCAGGAAAAAAGAUGUGAAUGAGUAGCGCUUUUUCACUGAGUCCCAGAGAUGGUGAGGUAGAAGUAUUUAUAGGCCACUGUCAGUGAAACCAAAGCGAUAAUCCCAUUGAGUCAGUAGAAGCCGUGAACGUUCCAUAGCUACACUGAUAGUGCUGAAAGGGGCUCGUCUCCUGUGACGCCCCGCACACGCUGUCCCUGUCCCUGUCCCUGUCCCU